CUCUAUGGUGAGCUGGGCGAGGGCAUCGUAAGGUGCGCCAGUGUCUGGUAAGGCUGGUAAGGUCAACCCCGUUCAGUUCACCACCCAC
rnacentral:antisense_RNA from 1 species